rnacentral:lncRNA from 1 species
GAAGGUAUAAGAAUCAAAACCUACUACAAAUCUAAGUUCUAAACAUCAAACUACAAUUAUUACAAAAGCUUUUUAUAACAAAAACAAGUCUUCAAAGGAUCUUCAUGAAUCUUGAUAUAUCUUGACUUGAUUUGGACAUCAUCAAAACUUCAUCUUCAUCAUUUUGCUAACAUUCUUCCCCUUUUUGAUGAUGAUCAAAAACUCCUUUGAAUUAAAGCUUUUAGUAAUACUCUGGAUAAAAACACAACUUAUGGAAGAAAAGAGCAUUAGAGAAUAAUAAUAAGCUUUAAAUAGUUUCUCCCCAUUUUUUAUCAUAAUUAAAAAGUUGUUUUCAUGUUCUCUCCCUAAGAUAAUACUCCCCCUUAAUA